AUCUGCUGCCUGUUUCUGUCCCGCCGCCCAUUUCCUUGCUCGGAAAACUUCUGAAACCCAUAAACACGACCGCUCCCGACCAUCAUCCCAAUCAGAGACGUAUCUAGGUUCUACGUUCAGCUAGGGCGUUGACUUUGACUUUGAUCGUUGACCGUCGAUUAUCAACCAUCAUAUUGAAAUUUGAUUAAAUAAUAUCAAGAAUUGUUCGAUAUAUAUGUAAAUGCACUAAAAUGUUCAACACUCAAGUCUCAAGUCAAUCAACACUCAAAUCUCCAACAUAUUCAAGUCACCCAAGUGCUCAACACUCUCAACUCAACUCUCAACACCGUCAACAAACAACAAAGGGUCGACAAAUUGCAAUUGCACAAGCACAAAUCAACAAAUAUAGUAGAAAUUUUUUCAAAUAAUGCUACACCCUAAUGUCCAGCUAUACAUUCUUAGAGGCAACGUGAAGUCCCACUCUUUACUUAGGUGAAAUCCCCUAAAAACUAUUGUCCAGGCUGAAGGGACUUUACUAUAAAAGAGUUGAUGAUAACAAUAAAAAGGGAUAUUUUGAUAAUCGAAUAGAAUGUUAUUUGUUUGCUCCUAUGCAUCAUAGAGUUUCCUUAAUAUGCUCAUCAGCUUGUGCCAUAUGAUAACAAUGUGAUCUUCUUUUGAUUUCUGAUGAUAUGUACAGCACUACAGGUCCCUUAUGAAAAGAAGAAAAAUAUUUGGCUAAAUUUUAUGAAGAUCUUUCAAGGACGUCUUUAACUAAAUUUCUUCAUUUAUUGGACAAAGUCUUGUCAAAUUCAAUGUCACAUACAUGCAUUGAAUAACUUUCCCAUAGUAAUAGCAUUUGUAUUUCUUCAACACUAAGUAAUUCAUCAAUGCAUUAACAGCUUUUUUCUGGGUAGAAUUCCUAUCUCAUUUAUAUUUAACUCUAUUUGUCCACUAGAAUUUCCUGAGCUCACUACAAAGGGCACACUUAAUGGGUUCCAGCUUCUUGUGGUACUAACAGGAAUUAUUGAACAUCUCUAGCAGAUUCAGCCACAAAUUUCACAGCUUAUGUGCUUUUCAACAUGUUAUCAACCUUACAAGGAAAACAGAAAACAGGGACUAUAGAGUUACAGACAAGUGAGACAACCAAAACAAUUCAAAUAUUCAAAUCUUCGACUUCAAGUAUUGAACUCACCAAUCACCACUGCUGACUGCACACUGCUGGCUGCUCGCUCAGUUGCUCGGCCGCGCCAGACGCCA
rnacentral:lncRNA from 1 species